ACUCAUACUCAGUUGGUAGAAUAUGGGACUCUCGAUCUCAGGAUUGUGGGUUCGAGCCCCACGCUGGGCG